rnacentral:lncRNA from 1 species
CAAAAUAUACUAAACAACACAUAAAAUAAACAUGCAAAAGUUGUUGCGCUGAAGAGGCACAAUUCCUAAAAAAAUACUAUCCAUCAAUGGGGAUUUGAUCCCUGGACCUCUAGGAUGUAGCACCAUUGCGCUAACCACCUCAGCUAACAGGCUACUUACACAGGAUAUCAGCGGAGAUAGCAUAUAACAUAACCCUGGCUAUACAGAUCUAGGACUAAACUAAGUUUCAGUUACACAGGAGCUUGCUCACUUUGGGGAAGUAGAGAGGCCGGAGGCCAUGCGAGGAGAAGCUGAGAUUGGACGGGGAUUUCUGGAUGGAUCCGGGCAUGGGUCGAGGCUGGAGGUCGGGGAUGGGGCACCUCCUUGUGGAAGCACCUCCGGUUCAAGGCGUCCAUGAAACAAGCCCCUCCUCUGUUCGUUCCUGGUCUCUUACGAAAGGAGAGAGAGCAGCACAGGUUAGAGAGGGCAGAGGGGAAAUGUAGAGAGGAGAAGAAAGGGCAAGGGGGAGGCGCUGCUAGGACCUGCUGUGCUCCGAUGCUCAUGGACGAAGGCCCUUGCAGGCUACGGGAGCGUUGGACCUCGGCGUUUGUAGUGGUUGUAGUUUUCCUGAACAAAGACAAGAUAGAGAGAGAAUUCAGAGAGGGAAAAUAGGGAAGGGAAGCAGGGAGAGACGACAUGAUUCAGAGAUCCUACCUGCUGCAUGGAGGAGCUCCUGCAAUUCUCGACGUGCUGGUCGGACGGUGACGGGAAAGACCAUGGCAUCGAGCUUCGGCGGCGGAGGGAUGUUGCGGUUCAUGCAGCACUUGGCCGGAUCCAGCGGUUGUCGGCGGAGCUACUUCACCGGCGGUGUUGCUGAACCUGCUGGUUCCAAGGCGCAUCGGGGAGCUCCUGAGGAAGACAAACAAAUAAGAAAAGAGAUCAGGGAAGAGAGGGGGAAUCAACAAGAGGAGGUGCACGACGACAGAAUCACCCGGGGUUCGCCUGACAUUAGGGACGAGGCCGCUUCUGGCGAUGCGUGCCUGCAGGAGCUCCUGCUCUUGUGGUCACGCAGACAAGGCUGCUGCGGUUGAUCGAUGCGUCCAGGACGGAGAGGCGAGCCACUGGAAAAGCAGAGGGGAGGCGCUGGAGAAGCAGAGGGGAUUGGGGUUUGGGCUUGGAUUUUUGGAUUGGGACGAUCUCGAGG